UACACCUGAGAGGAACAAGAAACAAUCACAGAGGUAACGAGUGUGAACUGGAGUUGGGCGAGACUUUAUUUUUAUGUGGCAACUGACUGUCUUUUGACAAGCACAAGACUUGCACCAGAAUGUUGUUUAUUGAUUUUAGCUCUUUGUUUAGUCUGAUGGUUCUUAAUGAGCGGCUCUCAGAACUCAGGUGAACUUGCGUGCAACUGGCCACGGAAUGUCUACGAAGCAGACUUUGAGCGUCAGCAACGAGAAAAAAUUGAGAUUACCCACCUUCAGAGAGGAGCUCACAGCUGCAGGAGGCCACCAUGGAGAAUUCUUUGGACGGUUGGCCGUGUGGACAUGACGCGAGCUCGAUGUCAUCGCCGCUGUCCCUGAAAUACACACCACACCUAAGCACCAGUCACAUGCUUUAAGAUUGCAGAUCGAGGGGGAGCCUGGAGCCUAUCCCAGGGAACUCAGGGCACACACGGCAGGAGACACCCCGGCACAAUCGCACACUUCGGAAACGCCAAUCAGCCUACAAUGCAUGUCUAUGGACUGGAGGAGGAAACCGGAGUACCCAGACCAAACCCCCGAAGAACACACACAGGGCGGAGGCAGGAUUCGAACCCCAAUCCCCAGAGGUGCAAGGCAAAUAUUUAUCCCUGCAGUUUACCCAGGAUCUAUGCAGUCCUGGAUGUCAGCAACCCAGGAGUUCUUCUGAAGAGAGUCGAUGGUCUCCAAGAUAUACUCGCCACCAUUUUCCACCUGUGGCAGAGCACAAAGGCAUGGUGUUUGUAGGACUAGCUCACUUCCCAGCACUAUUUACCACCAGUCAAACCACACAGAUGAAUAGUUUCCAUGUUAGCGCUAUAAACUAAAGCUCUAUAGUCAAUGAGUUAAUGUUUUAAUGUUAUUAAUAUCAACUAGUGUAGAUGACAAGUUUGUAGACAAGCAAAACAAGCUGAAAUAAAGGAAUUUCGAUGCAUAAAACAUAACACCAGUGUACUCACUGUUUUGAUAAAAAAAAAUAACGAUUAAUAUUAAACACUCAAUAUUAGAGGCUCAAAAUUAAACACAGCGCUGUUGAAUCCUCAGUUCUGAUUGGUCAAAAGGUUUGAUUAAUUUUCUAUAACAGCAGCUCUGAAAGUAGAGCCGGCUGCAAGGCAGUUUAUUGUAUAUUAAUUCACUCGUUCAUGUCGCCAUUUCCAUAGUAACAGUUCAUUCACAAUUUCAAAUUUUUUAAAUAUUGUUGCUAUGGUGAAGAUUUAAGUAGAUCUUUAUUUAGCAUUUAUGCAAAGCGUCUCUAGUGGCAGCACUAAUGCUGUAACUUGCUGUGA